UCAGGAGUGUGCUCCUCACUGUAACUCCAGUGCCUAGCACUAUGGGCGAUUAGCUUGUAUUGGUUGGAUGCGGUGGCUCACACUUACAAUCCAGCACUUUGAGAGGCCAAGGUGGAAGGAUUGUUUGAAUCCAGGAGUUCGAGACCAGCCUGAGCAACAUAGUGAGACCUCAUCUCUACAAAAAAAAAAAAAAAAACAAAAUUAGCUGGGCAUGGGGGUGCAUGUCUGUGGUCCCAGCUACUCAGGAGGCCGAGUGGGAUGAUCUCUUGAUCCUGGGAGAUUGAGGCUGCAAUGAGCUGAGACUGCACCACUGCACCCCUGCCUGGGCAACAGAACAAGACUCUGUCUCAGAAAAAAAAAAAAAGAUUAGCUCAUAUUUUCUAGUGUUUUACAUAAAUGGAAUCAUACGGUAUGUUCUUUUUUUGCCUAGCUUCUUUCACUCAGUAUGAUUUUGAGAUUCUUCUCUGUUAUUGUGUGUAUCAAUAGUGUGUCUUUACUGCAGAGUGGUAUUCCAUUGUAUAGAAGUCCCACAGUUUGUCUGUCAUUCAUAUACUAGUGGAUUUGGGUUGUUUUUGGGUUUUGGCUCUAUAUAAAGCUCCUGUGAACACUUGCAUUCAAGUCUUUGGGUUUCAUGCUUUCUUUCCUCUUUGAUAGAUACCUAUAGUGGGAUGGUUGGGUUGUAUUGUAGGUGUAUGUUUAACUUUUUAAGAAGCUGUCAAACUGAUUUCCAAGUUGGUCGUGCCAUCUUACACUCUCUCCAACUAUGUAGGAGAGUUUCAGUUGCUCUGAGUCCUCACCAGCAUUCAAUAUGGCCGGUCAUUUUAAAGUCAGCCACCUACAUUGUUUUAUGUUUUUGUGUUUAGAGUUUUUAAAAAAAUGUACUCAAGUUUAGCCAACUCUUGGCUUCAUUAUACCAAAGUUUACAGGAAUAAAACCAGAUUAUUUCUGUUGCUCCAGUGAUAUUAAUAGUGUCUACUCUUAACCCCCAAAGUGUCCUGGUUUGGAUGCUAAAGUAUAUGUUUUAUCUGCUUCCAGCCCGAGUGGCCAUGCUCCCAGGCUGUCCUUCCACAGCCACACAGCCCAUCAAGGCAUUCUGCUCAACGAAGACUUUUCCUUCCUCUGAAAGAGACUUUCCUGCUAAACAACUUUUUUCCUUACUACAAUCUGAUUGCAGUAAGCAAGGAUGGCAUAACAUAACCAUCCAAAUAAGUUGAAAACUUUUGCCCACACAAAAACCUGCACACUGAUUCAUAUUUGCCAACACUUGGAAGCAACCAAGAUGUCCUUCAACAGAUGAAUAGAUAAACAAAACGUGGCACAUCCAGACAAUGGAAUAUGAUACAGCAGGAAAAAGAAAUGAGCUCCGGACAUUCUGGAAAGGUAAAACUACAGAGAUCAUAAAAAGAUCAUCUCUUUGAAGUCUGGGUAUUUGGUAAAAACAAAUCAGUGGUUAACAGGGGCUUGGAUGGGGGAGGGAGGGAUGAA
rnacentral:lncRNA from 1 species